rnacentral:ncRNA from 1 species
ACAGUUUUGGUCCUGGGCUUACCGUUCUUUUUUUUCAAGAUUAUACAUGCAAGCCUCAGCACACCAGUGAAAAUGCCCAUAAACCCCUAAAAAGAUUAUUGGAGCAGGUAUCAGGCACUACAACUCAAGCCCAUGACGCCUUGCCACGCCACACCCCCACGGGAAAAUCAGCAGUAAUAAACAUUGGGCUAUAAGUGAAAACUUGACCCAACUAUGAUAAGACAGGGCUGGUUAAUUUCGUGCCAGCCACCGCGGUUAUACGAAAAGCCCAAAAUAACGAUUAAACGGCGUAAAAUGUGACUAGAGACUCUUAAUAAAAAAAUAUUAGAACCUAUAACUAGUUGUAAAAUACUUAGUUAACAGGGAAAACACACNNNNNNAUUUUUAAUAUUAUAUUCUUGACCACACGAAAGCUUAGAAACAAACUAGGAUUAGAUACCCUACUAUGCUAAGCCCUAAACAUUGAUUAGCUAACAUACUAGACUUUCCGCCAGAGGAUUACAAGUGAAAAACUUAAAACUCAAAGGACUUGACGGUAUCCCAUAUCGACCUAGAGGAGCCUGUCCUAUAAUCGAUACCCCUCGUUCCACCCAACCUCAACUAGCAAAAUAACAGCCUAUAUACCGCCGUCGAUCAGCCUACCCCGUGAGGGUCCAACAGUAGACAUAAUAACCCAACCGCUAAUACGUCAGGUCAAGGUGUAGCAAAUGUUGAGGAAGAGAUUGGCUACAUUUUUUAACAUAAAAAACACGAAAAGCACCAUGAAACCGUGCAUGAAGGUGAAUUUAGUAGUAAAAUAGAUAAGAGUGUCUAUUUUAACAACGCUCUGGGAUGCGUACACACCGCCCGUCACCCUCCUCAACAACAAAAAUCCAACCUUUAUAAACCCAAAAAACAAAACAGAGGAGGCAAGUCGUAACAUGGUAAGCGUACCGGAAGGUGUGCUUGGAUUAAC